rnacentral:sRNA from 1 species
UUUCAUUUUCCAACGUCUGCGAAUUUAUUUUUAAAACAAUCCUAGGCGAUGUAUGGGGGACUGGUUCCUUGUUCUUCUACGCAGGGGAAAGUCCCCAGACCUCGGGCAGAGUGCCGCAUGCACCUGCACGGAAAUAUCCCUUCAGUUCUCAUUCUUAGAACUCGCUGAGAAGCGAAUCUCAGCACGAGUCUGGUGCUGAGGCGCCGUCCAUCCACUCUGCUAGUUACGCAGGCAGUGUGGGUCUUAGUGCACCAACCACAUUGGGCCCAUUCUCAGUGUGGC